UUGCGACCCMGGUCACGCGGGAACACCCGCUGAGUGCGGCGG
rnacentral:rRNA from 1 species